rnacentral:rRNA from 1 species
UACGGAGGGUGCGAGCGUUAAUCGGAAUAUGGCGUAAGACGUAGCAGGCGGUUUGUUAAGCGAGAUGUGAAAGCCCCGGGCUUAACCUGGGAACUGCAUUUCGAACUGGCAGGCUAGAGUGUGAUAGAGGGUGGUAGAAUUUCAGGUGUAGCGGUGAAAUGCGUAGAGAUCUGAAGGAAUACCGAUGGCGAAGGCAGCCACCUGGGUCAACACUGACGCUCAUGUACGAAAGCGUGGGGAGCAAACAGGAUUAGAUACCCGGGUAGUCC